rnacentral:lncRNA from 1 species
ACGCUCUUAUUAUCAUAAAAGAACUUUGAAGUCAUUAAGAAUUAAUGAUCCAACAUGAUGGUAUGUUUUUCAAGUAUAUAAGUUUUGAUCUUAUACUCUAAAAAAUUAAUUAAAUUGCUCUCAUGUUGAUAAAAUACUUAAUAUAUUGGGCAAAAGAUCUUAAAUGAACAAGCUUUCAUACUUAUUAUUGAAGAGAGGUUAGAU